UCGUUCCCUAUGUUCGACUGAUUUUGUGGCUGCGAUGUUGUGUUUGCAUAUUUCGGUUUUUACCGAAUCUGGUAGAGACAUCUACCUUUCAUACUUGCUGUAUUUUUUGAAACCUAUCAAUCAAAAAAUUUGUCGUAGCACUGAGGUUUUCUCGGUGCUUUUUUUU
rnacentral:other from 1 species